GUGCUCAUUUCAGCAGCACGUACACUAAAAUUGAAAUAAUACAGAGAUUAGCAUGACCCCUGCUCAAGGAUGCCAUGCACAUUUGGGAAGUGUUUCAUAUUUAU
ensembl:snRNA U6 U6 spliceosomal RNA